rnacentral:tmRNA from 1 species
GGGGAUGACUGGUUUUGACAGCGUGUAGAGGCGGUAGGUAAGCAUGCAGAGUUUUGGUGUUGAAACUCUAUAAUCGCAACAGCAUCGACCUAUAAUUGGCGAAAAUAACAAUUACGCUCUCGCUGCGUAAGUCUGAAUAGAGUAGGACUCCUUAAUCCGCCUCAAAGGGAGGUGGACGAGACAUCAGCCCAUUGCCCCGUUCCGAGACGUUUGGAUCAGCUGGUGCUAAGAAAUUCGGAAAUAGGGUGAGCGGAGCCUCGACGCUCAUCCGAAACUCAGAGGAUAAGGAUAUGAUUGGUAGUCGUGAGCCUGUCAUAUCUCGAAAACCAAGUCAAUGACUAAGCAUGUAGAAAACUUAUUGACUCCAUGUUUGGACGAGGGUUCGAUUCCCUCCAUCUCCACCU